rfam:Salmo salar isolate Sally breed double haploid chromosome ssa01, whole genome shotgun sequence.
UGCACGCAUGACUGUAAAUCGCUUUGGAUAAAAGCGUCUGCUAAAUGACUUGCC